CUUCUAUUCCUGAAUAUGCUCUUGAAACUACAGUGGUAGAAGAGUACAUAUGAUAAGUAAUUGGGAUUUGCAAGAUUUUAGCGUAACGAACCAUAAAUAGGAUUCAAGAAAGGGAACCAAUGUUUGAGUUGCUUAAACGCAUUUAGCUUCUCAUUUGCUUCCUCGUAUACAGAAUAAGUAUAUCUCACUCACGUGCUCAAUCAACUCAUCAUGGCCCAUGUUUUUGAGAAAAAAACUUGAAGUUCAAAGUGAGAAAUCAAUUUAAAUUGCUUAAUGCCGGCAAUUUUUCAGACACUCUUUACGUGAAUGGAAUACGGUUCUACAUGGCAGAAACAAACACAUCGAGAAUAUGCUUCAUUUCUUGAGGGACCAGGUGAAUCAAAGACAGCUUGAAGUGAAACACUGCUCAAGUGGAUCUCAAAUUGUGGAUAUUCUCAUAAGGGACUGAAAAUUGAGAGAUUUUUGGCCCUUAGCAAGAAGUUAUGAGUUGUUCAAUUUGAUAAUUAACUUGGUUAAUGUUAAUUGAAGAACAUAUAUUGUA